GACCUCACCUCAAGUAAGAAUACCCGCUGAACUUAAGCAUAUCAAUAAGCGGAGGA
rnacentral:rRNA from 1 species